rnacentral:sRNA from 1 species
CUCUUCCCCCUUGCAGAGCGACCAGAUCGCGUAGAGCUGAUGCCGCUGCCUCCCUGGCAGCCGGUGGGCGAGAACUUCACCCUGAGCUGUAGGGUCCCCGGCGCCGGGCCCCGUGCGAGCCUCACGCUGACCCUGCUGCGGGGCGCCCAGGAGCUGAUCCGCCGCAGCUUCGCCGGCGAACCACCCCGAGCGCGGGGCGCGGUGCUCACAGCCACGGUACUGGCUCGGAGAGAGGACCAUGGAGCCAAUUUCUCGUGUCGCGCGGAGCUGGACCUGCGGCCGCACGGCCUGGGACUGUUUGAAAACAGCUCGGCCCCCAGAGAGCUCCGAACCUUCUCCCUGUCUCCGGAUCCCCCGCGCCUCGCUGCUCCCCGGCUCUUGGAAGUUGGCUCGGAAAGGCCCGUGAGCUGCUCUCUGGACGGACUGUUUCCAGCCUCAGAGGCCAGGGUCUACCUCGCACUGGGGGACCAGAAUCUGAGUCCUGAUGUCACCCUCGAAGGGGACGCAUUCGUGGCCACUGCCACAGCCACAGCUAGCGCAGAGCAGGAGGGUGCCAGGCAGCUGGUCUGCAACGUCACCCUGGGGGGCGAAAACCGGGAGACCCGGGAGAACGUGACCAUCUACAGCUUCCCGGCACCACUCCUGACCCUGAGCGAACCCAGCGUCUCCGAAGGGCAGAUGGUGACAGUAACCUGCGCAGCCGGGGCCCAAGCCCUGGUCACACUGGAGGGAGUUCCAGCCGCGGUCCCGGGGCAGCCCGCCCAGCUUCAGCUAAAUGCCACCGAGAACGACGACAGACGCAGCUUCUUCUGCGACGCCACCCUCGACGUGGACGGGGAGACCCUGAUCAAGAACAGGAGCGCAGAGCUUCGUGUCCUAUACGCUCCCCGGCUAGACGAUUCGGACUGCCCCAGGAGUUGGACGUGGCCCGAGGGCCCAGAGCAGACGCUGCGCUGCGAGGCCCGCGGGAACCCAGAACCCUCAGUGCACUGUGCGCGCUCCGACGGUGGGGCCGUGCUGGCUCUGGGCCUGCUGGGUCCAGUCACUCGGGCACUCUCAGGCACUUACCGCUGCAAGGCGGCCAAUGAUCAAGGCGAGGCGGUCAAGAACGUGACGCUAACGGUGGAGUACGCACCAGCGCUGGACAGCGUGGGCUGCCCAGAACGCAUUACUUGGCUGGAGGGAACAGAAGCCUCGCUAAGCUGUGUGGCGCACGGGGUACCGCCGCCUGAUGUGAUCUGCGUGCGCUCUGGAGAGCUCGGGGCCGUCAUCGAGGGGCUGUUGCGUGUGGCCCGGGAGCAUGCGGGCACUUACCGCUGCGAAGCCACCAACCCUCGGGGCUCUGCGGCCAAAAAUGUGGCCGUCACGGUGGAAUAUGGCCCCAGGUUUGAGGAGCCGAGCUGCCCCAGCAAUUGGACAUGGGUGGAAGGAUCUGGGCGCCUGUUUUCCUGUGAGGUCGAUGGGAAGCCACAGCCAAGCGUGAAGUGCGUGGGCUCCGGGGGCGCCACUGAGGGGGUGCUGCUGCCGCUGGCACCCCCAGACCCUAGUCCCAGAGCUCCCAGAAUCCCUAGAGUCCUGGCACCCGGUAUCUACGUCUGCAACGCCACCAACCGCCACGGCUCCGUGGCCAAAACAGUCGUCGUGAGCGCGGAGUCGCCACCGGAGAUGGAUGAAUCUACCUGCCCAAGUCACCAGACGUGGCUGGAAGGGGCUGAGGCUUCCGCGCUGGCCUGCGCCGCCCGCGGUCGCCCUUCCCCAGGAGUGCGCUGCUCUCGGGAAGGCAUCCCAUGGCCUGAGCAGCAGCGCGUGUCCCGAGAGGACGCGGGCACCUACCACUGUGUGGCCACCAAUGCGCAUGGCACGGACUCCCGGACCGUCACUGUGGGCGUGGAAUACCGGCCGGUGGUGGCCGAACUUGCUGCCUCGCCCCCUGGAGGCGUGCGCCCAGGCGGAAACUUCACGUUGACCUGCCGCGCGGAGGCCUGGCCUCCAGCCCAGAUCAGCUGGCGCGCGCCCCCGGGGGCCCUCAACAUCGGCCUGUCGAGCAACAAUAGCACACUGAGCGUGGCAGGCGCCAUGGGAAGCCACGGCGGCGAGUACGAGUGCGCAGCCACCAACGCGCACGGGCGCCACGCGCGGCGCAUCACGGUGCGCGUGGCCGGUCCGUGGCUGUGGGUCGCUGUGGGCGGCGCGGCGGGGGGCGCGGCGCUGCUGGCCGCGGGGGCCGGCCUGGCCUUCUACGUGCAGUCCACCGCCUGCAAGAAGGGCGAGUACAACGUGCAGGAGGCCGAGAGCUCAGGCGAGGCCGUGUGUCUCAACGGCGCGGGCGGCGGCGCUGGCGGGGCGGCAGGCGCGGAGAGCGGACCCGAGGCGGCGGGGGGCGCGGCCGAGUCACCGGCGGAGGGCGAGGUCUUCGCCAUACAGCUGACAUCGGCGUGAGCCCGCUCCCCUCUCCCCGCGGGCCGGGGGACGCCCCCCAGACGCACACGGGGGCUUAUUUAUUGCUUUAUUUAUUUACUUAUUCAUUUAUUUAUGUAUUCAACUCCAAGGGCGUCACCCCCAUUUUCUACCCAUCCCCCCAAUAAAGUUUUUAUAAAGG